GAUCCUGGCUCAGGACGAACGCUGGCGGCGUGCUUAACACAUGCAAGUCGAACGGAGCACCCUUGAUUGAGGUUUCGGCCAAAUGAUAGGAAUGCUUAGUGGCGGACUGGUGAGUAACGCGUGAGGAACCUGCCUUUCAGAGGGGGACGAACAGUUGGAAACGGAACUGCUAAUAACCGCCAUGACGCAUUUUGUAUCGCAUGGUCGGAAAUAGCCAAACGAAUUUAUUCG
rnacentral:rRNA from 1 species